GGGCCCGCACAAGCGGUGGAGCAUGUGGUUUAAUUCGAUGAUACGCGAGGAACCUUACCAGGGCUUAAAUGUAGUGGGACAGGUCUAGAGAUAGACCCUUCUUCGGACUCAUUACAAGGUGCUGCAUGGUUGUCGUCAGCUCGUGCCGUGAGGUGUCAGGUUAAGUCCUAUAACGAGCGCAACCCCUAUCGUUAGUUGCCAGCGGGUAAUGCCGGGAACUCUAGCGAAACUGCCGGUGCAAACCGAGAGGAAGGUGGGGAUGACGUCAAAUCAUCACGGCCCUUACGUCCUGGGCUACACACGUGCUACAAUGGCCGGUACAGAGAGCAGCCACUACGCGAGUAGGAGCGAAUCUCUAAAGCCAAUCUCAGUUCGGAUUGGAGUCUGCAACUCGACUCUAUGAAGCUGGAAUC
rnacentral:rRNA from 1 species